UUUCUCAUCAAUUCUGAUUAUCGUUACAAGUAACAGUAGAAAUGCUCUCAAAUUUAUUCUGUUUUCUAUGUAAAGCAAAGCAGCAUGCUUUUAUUUUGCUUUGGUGGUAGUCACCACUCACCAAGUCAAAUGGGCCAUUCCAUUUAAUAGCCCCCCUAUUGAGGUCUGGAUAUCCUAUGGGGGAGAAUUUUUCUAGAGGGUAGCUUAAGAGAUUUCCUAAAAAUUAGGUGUUUUAGUGAUAUCCAAAGGGGCAGGAACAAUAUCCUAAAGGGGUAGAAAGAUAUCCAUGGGGGUUCCAAAAAUGUAUCCAAUGAGGUUCCAAAAUUUUUAAGGUAUUAUGAAGAGACCCCUCAAUAGGGUGUGUGUGUGGGAGGGGCUAUAUUAGAUGGAAUGGCCCAGUGUGCUGCAACAACUUUUAAAAUUUGUAUAUAUGUUUUUAAGGCACAAUAUGUAAUGGAGUUUGAUAUGAUGAUCAGCACAACCUCAAGGUCUUGACUGAAUGAACAACUUAUCUGAUAUACUCCUAGUUCCAAUACUUUGCUGUAUAUUAUCACCAGCUCAGAUGUCAGUUGGAUCACUUUGAAUGAACAUUGGAGUGGCACAAUAAAGUGUCUGUAUUAGGGAGGAGUCUAUAAGGACUGAAGUAAAAGGCACACUUUUGGAUAUUUGAAUCAUAGCAACUACAUAUAGUGUAGGUUUCAAAUAAAGUUUGAACAAUGUACAACUGAAAAUAAAAAUGUAUUUAAUUUGAAACACUUAAAGGAAUUACAACAUAUUAUAUGAUAGUCAUAUGUACAUGAUUAUAGGUAUAUUCAUUAGUUUUACUAGCUGAUAUUUAUGACCAUCCUGGAUGACAACAUUUAUUUUUCCCAAGAGAUUUUACUUGCAUGAUAGUAAUAAGUUUAAUAGUAACAGAGAAGUGUGAUGGAUAUGUGAAAGUAAUUAUCAUUAGAAAUACAAAUAUUAAACUGUAAUUUUGAC
rnacentral:lncRNA from 1 species